rnacentral:rRNA from 1 species
CCUACGGGUGGCUGCAGUGGGGAAUAUUGGACAAUGGGGGCAACCCUGAUCCAGCCAUGCCGCGUGUGUGAAGAAGGCCCUCGGGUUGUAAAGCACUUUCAGUGAGGAAGAACGCCUGGUGGUUAAUACCCAUCAGGAAAGACAUCACUCACAGAAGAAGCACCGGCUAACUCCGUGCCAGCAGCCGCGGUAAUACGGAGGGUGCGAGCGUUAAUCGGAAUUACUGGGCGUAAAGCGCGCGUAGGUGGCUUGAUAAGCCGGUUGUGAAAGCCCCGGGCUCAACCUGGGAACGGCAUCCGGAACUGUCAAGCUAGAGUGCAGGAGAGGAAGGUAGAAUUCCCGGUGUAGCGGUGAAAUGCGUAGAGCUCGGGAGGAAUACCAGUGGCGAAGGCGGCCUUCUGGACUGACACUGACACUGAGGUGCGAAAGCGUGGGUAGCAAACAGGAUUAGAUACCCCAGUAGUC